AAUGUGGGGAGUCAUUAAUAGGCAGUAUUUAAAUCCGUGGGACUGGGGGGGUGUUCCCUUUUUGUUGCCAGUGACAUCACUGUCAUCAUCUGAGGUUUUUGGUUCCAGGUGAGACACUUUGACAGCCCCUACCUGUUGUACCACGAGAAGAUCAAAACUAGCCGCGUAUUCAUCCGAGACUGCAGCAUGGUGUCUGUGUACCCGCUGGUCUUGUGUGGAGGAGGCCAGGUGAAUGUGCAGCUUCAAAGAGGACAGUUCGUUGUCUCCCUGGAUGAUGGUUGGAUCCGUUUUGUAGCUGCUUCCCAUCAGGUGGCUGAAUUGGUAAAGGAGCUUCGUUGCGAACUUGAUCAGCUUCUCCAGGAUAAAAUUAAAAACCCAAGCAUUGAUCUGUGUACGUGUC
rnacentral:sRNA from 1 species